rnacentral:misc_RNA from 1 species
AAGGUUAUAUCAACAGGAACAACUGGUUUCCCUUCAAAGUGACCAACCAAUACAAAUUUUCAAAUUAAGAGCUUCCAUACAAGAAAAUUAAUGAAACAAACACUUUAUAUACAUUUCUCCUAGGCAAUACAGAACCGCGUGUAUCUUCCAGUAAUAAGACUUCAGUAUUGCCUGUGUACAUCAAAUCCAAUACAAUUCACAUCAAGCUUCACGAUGAAAUUCCAAGCCUUAGCCAAACUAGUGUAGAUUCCCACAAUUAAACAAGUUGAUCUAACAUUACCACCAACGACUAGAAAGAAAAAAUUAAAAAGAAACAAUAAAUGCAGACCUCAAGUCCUUUUUCAUCUAUCUGCUCUAAAACCAAACCUAUCGACAGUCUAAAUAGCCUUUCAACAGCUAGCUUCUGCCAAAAUCAUACAGUGAAACAGAAGCGUUGAAGAAGAAUAAGGACCAUAUUCAGCAAGACAUCGUAGAAUCAAACUCUUGUUGAAAAUAUUUACCAAGUCAACAAUUAAAUACUUCCCUUGCAUCUUGAUUUUCCAUUUACUCUCACGCGAAGGAAUACACACAUCUACCAAGAUAUGAGCCACACUCCUUCGCAUCCCAAAACUGUUUCCUUCUCGGUGAAGCUCAUGCAGAAAUUUACUGCUUCUGCUUUCUGAAGAAAAAUAAUGAGGGAAACAUCAGUACUCAAAUAGCUAACCUGUUCCUGCCUUUGGAAAAUGAGCAUUUGAAUUAGCUUCACUGAACCAAACUCACUGGUGGCACAGACCAAUCUCAGAGAUGUGCAUUGAAGAUGAUUAAUAGAGCCUGAUUCUAGUCUGUAUUGAGCUUCUACAAAUGGGGCAUGAUUCUAAGUCUUCUCCACAGUCACAACAAGUCUGAUGCCCACAACCGAAGGCCAUGUCCUUUUUAUUAGUAAGACAAAUGGGACAAA